ACUCUCGGGGCGCGCGCGCCCAGAGCGCUGGGGUUUGGGAGUAACUCCGGAACAAUGAAGGAGGAAGAAUGAAUGAGUUGCGCCCUGAAGAUGGUGGGCUCUCCUUUAUGCAUGAUCAUCACGAUCUCUCUGCAAUGUCUGUCCUGUGACCUCGUGAGGUGUGCAGCGUCAUGCCAGACAUCUGUGUUUGGAUGGCCCUCUGGCUCCUCCACAAUUACUGCAGAGUCAGAAGUGGAAUUUCCGCCUGAUGUUUUAUGUCAAAAUCAGUAUGAAAGACUGCAGCAUGCUGAGUGAGCUUUCCGUUCUCGCUGAGAUGCAAUGCAGGGUCCACCCUCUGCAGGCCACAAUUUUGCCUGGAGGCAAAGCAUUCAGUCUUUCCAUUGGCCUGACAAUUUGAGCCAAGCUUUGAGGCCAACAGACAAAAUGCACUAGCAACUGGAGAGGGCCUGCCUGGUGGCCCUCCCUGUGAGAAGGUAUUCUUCCUGCUCCAUUGACAUCAGGCUUAUUAGCCAUGUUUCUGGAUUUGGUCCAUUUCAUCAUAAAGAGAACAUGGAGCAGGGCUGCAGCUGAUCUUCAAAGGGCAUGAACACAAGCCAGAGAGAAGCCGUUAUUGUUGUAAGCCCUGAAGAUUUGGGGGAUAUUAUUGCAACACAACUCAGCCCAAGCUGACUAAUACAACAAGUUUCUAUGUAUACAUGGAAAUGUAUGUAAUCUUAGCCUCAAAAAAAAAAAAAAGAAAAAAAGAGUAUCUGAAAAUCCCAGGAUACUCGGGGCUCAUGGUGCGUAGUCAAUGAAAUGAUUAGCUCUCUUUCUUCAUCCUUCCCUCUCCAAUCUUUUCUUUUCAUUCUCCUUCAUCUCAUUCUCCUUCUCUCUGUGAUUUACAAAGCUGGUCAUGGAAAAAAAAACAUAGGAGUCAGAAGGCUUCGAUUCUAGGUUCAUAUGUAUGAGAUUUUUUGGAAAAAACUCAUACUCUCAAGGAGUCUCAGUUUCCUCAUCUUCAAGUGGGGAUAAUAACACCCUCUUUACCUAUUCUGCUGGGUUCUUUUGUAGAUCACAUGAAAGAGAGGUUAUGGAAAUCCUUUAUAUAUGUUUUGAAAAUUCUAUCCAGUUGCUGUGGCCUGAAUGUUUGUGUUCUUCAAAAUUUAUAUGUUGAAACCUAAUCACUGAUGUGAUGGUGUUUGAAGGUAAGGCUGUUAGAAGGUGAUUGGCACAAACCCCUCAUAAGAGAAGCCCCAAAGAGAGCUAGCUUGCCUGUUUCACCAUGUGAGGACAUGGUGAGAAGAAGCCAUGUAAGAAUCAGGAAACAGGUCCUCACCAGGCAUGGAAUAUGUCAGCACCUUGAUCUCGGACUUACCAGCCUCCAAACUAGUGACAAAUAAAUUACUAUUCACUAGCUGCCCAAUUAAUGGUAUUUUAUUAUGAUAGACUGAACUGACUAGGACACUAGUUAUAUGAUGAAAAUACCCUACUACUAUUACUACUGCUAGUACUUCCUGUAUUUGCUCAUAUUUUUGGAGGUCUUAUUAUGUUCCAAGUAUGGUUCUAAGUGCUUUUCAUCAGUAACUCUUGUAAGAGCCUAUUUUUAAUUCAGCAAAGGCAACAAAAUACUUUCCCUGGUUUAGUGAGGAGUAUUAACUAAUUGGGGGUAUAAACAUAACAUGGUUUCGUUUUUUCAAUAGUUGCUACUACUCUUGUUCUCCAUAGCAACUUUGGUUUCAAUUCCAUAACUUUCCUGUUGUUUCUGGUCAAAGGAACAGUUGCCUCUAGUUCCUCUGUCUAUUUUAAUAUUUUGACCCUCUCCAUUCCUGUCAGGACAGGUGGAACUCGUGGCAUAGGAAGUUCAAGUGGCAGAGGGGGCCCAGUCUGUACUUGUCUCUACUCCCCCAGAGGAGGAAAGAAAGCAAGACAGAUGCUCCCUCACGUGGAUGUCCAUGGUAUAGUUGCUGUCCUCCCCUUGGGUGGCCAUGACUGCUAUUCCUGUCCACUGAGCUUCAUGAGGGUUGGGGUGCCUCCCUCACCAGGAUCAGACUCUGGGGUCCCCCAGCAGGAGGUACCGUGUGUAUUCCUCUGUGGGCCUUGUAUGGUCCUCCUUCCCCUUCUGCUGCGUGGGUCCCUAGGGAUGCCAUUGCUCCAAAAAUACUUGCUUUCCCAAGCUCUUCAACUCCAGGGCUCAAAAUCCCCUGGGGAUCCCCUUCCUGUAGGUCUUGAGAAUUGCAACUUGGGGGCAGUCCUGACCUGGUCAUCAUCCUCCUCACCACCUCACUGUGCCAUCUCCUCACCUCAUUCUCUAACCCCCAAAAGAUGACCACUGAUGACCAGUCUCCAGGUCAGUGGAGAACGUGUGUGGAGAAGUGCAGGAGGGGUGACAAAGCAUCCCCAAACCUUACAAGUUAUUUCCUUGAUUUUGGAGAAGAAAUCCACUGGGUAGUGCCCACCACCCCCUCACACAGCUCCAGCUAGAAGUAACGAUUUACUCCCUCCCUACACUCCUCUUAUUUUGUCUUUGAGGGUGGGGGUGCUGGUUUUGCUGAAAUGACUCUGCUCAGUCAGGCUUUUGAGAGUGGGAGGGCAGGGGGCAAAGGCAGAAAGGGAAGCAACCAGGCCUUUCUCUGCCUGUUCUCUGAACUCAGAGCAUGGGGUACUAAGGACCUGGGUUCUCUGCUGUGGGCCCAAAGAGGAAACAACAAGAUCCACUUGGUACCUAAUACCCUGUCACACAGAGGUACAACAUCUCCAGCUUGAGGUGGUGUCCUGUGAGUGAUAGCAGCUCCAGGAUGGUGCAUUUACCACUGAGGAAAAGUAGAAUGAGCCCCAGCGUUGGGGGAGCGAUCUGGGAACUGCCCUCCUAUUUGCUCCCACAAUAUCCUGCAGGUUCUAUGAUACAGGUAGUUAGAGCUACUCACUAGGCUGCCUGUCUUCCCCUCCACUGCAGGACAUGCCUGUAUUUUGUCCUCAUCUGUUGCUGUAGUUUGGAUGUGUUAUUUUUUUUUCCUUUGCAUGAGUUUCCAUGCAGAACACAUGUUGGAAUUUAACUGCCAAUGUAAUGGGUGUUGGGAGGUGGGGCCUUUAUCCAAACUUUAAUUAGGUCAUUAAGAUGAUUAGUGUCCUUCUCUGGAGAGACUGGAUUAGGUCUCUUGGGAAUGAAUUAGUUCUCGUGAAAGCUGGUUGUUAUAAAGUGAGGCUGCCUCUCGUGUUUGGUGUCUUUGUACGCUUCUGCUUCCCCUUCCUUCUGCUUUCCACCGGGAGUCAAAGCAGCACCAAGUCCUCACCAGAUGGGCUGCUGGAUCUUGUACUUCCCAGCCUGCAUGACUGUAAGCUCCAUAAACCUCUUUUUAUUCCUUGUAAAUUACCCGGUCUUAGGUAUUCAACAGAAUUGAAUUGCUUAGGUAGCAACACAAAACAGAUGAAGACAUCUGUAUUCCCAGGACCUGGGACAGCACCUGGUAUAUGCAACCUACUCAGCAAAUGUUCUCUAGAAUCUUUAGAGAUUUGGGAAUAUGAAGGAAAAAAAAACUAGAAAAAUGGGGUGGCAGAUAUAUUCCAGAUAAAAAAUAUUUCAGGUGAAUUCUACAAAUCAGGGUGGGUUUCAGACAACUGUGAAUCAUGAGUAUACUUGUUGGGGGAAAAAUUCACAUAGCAAAGACAGCUACUUCUUGCGGUACCCACUGAGGGACUGGGGCAAGGGCAAUGAGAGGCAUAAG
rnacentral:lncRNA from 1 species